ACCUGAGCCGAAGGCAGUCGCCCAACCAACUGAGCCACCCAGGCGCCCCAGGGCCACCAGCUCCUUCGAGAAUCUGAUGAAAACCAUGGUCCUUUUCCUGGAAAAAUGCACAUACAUGCUGGCAUUUUUUCGAUUAAUUUCAAGUAGUGCACAGAGCUGAAGCCCAUCAAGAAAUCCCAAAUUAAAAAUUAUUGUGCUUGUCUUUUUUUUUUUUGAGAUUCUUUCAAAUUCUGGAACUUCUUGAUUUGCUCUGAUGGAUAACAUCUGCUGUGAAGCAGUUAUAGGAGGAAUGAGAUUGACAUAUGUUCCUCAAGUGCCAGCAUAAUUUAUAGAUGUCUAGUAAAUGCUUUGUGCAUGUUAGCUCAGUUAAAUCCAGUUACAAAGGCAAAAAGACUAAUAGUUGAAAUCAGCAAGAAAUGCGGGUAACCCACCCAUUCCUCUAAUGCCCAAAAUUUGUGCAUUUCCUGCAUCGCUUCUUUCUGGCUGCUGUCAAGAUUUUUCUCUCUGUUCUUAGUUUUCAGAAGGUUGACUAUGAAGUGUCUUGGCAUGAAUAUGUUUGGGUCCUGUUUGGGGUUUGCUCAGCUUCUUAAACCUGUAGGUUUAUGUCUUUUCCCAAAUUUAGGUAAUUUUCAGCCAUUAUUUUUUCAAAUACUCUUUCAGCCCCAUCCCCUUUCUCCUUUCCUUUUGGGACUCCAGUGACCCAGUUGUUGGAUAUUCUGUUGCAGUCUCACUUGUCCCUAAGGCUUUUUAUCUUUUCAGUCUUUUUUCUCUGUUGUUCAGACUGGGUAAUUUCUCGUGUUCUAUCCUCAAGUUCACUGAUUGUUCCCAUGUAUGUUUUAGUUUUAAAUUUUCCAUUUGAUUUUCUUUGUAGCUUCUAUUUCUUCGAUGAGACUUGCUACUUUUUCAUUUGUGAAGUAUCUUUGUAAUUGUUCAUUGAACUUUUAUGAUGGCUGCUUCAAAAUCCUUGUCAUAAUUUUAACAUCUGUGUCAUUUCAGUAUUGGCAUCUCUUGAUUGUCUUGUCUCAUUCAAGUUGAGAUCUUCCUUGGAAUGAUUUUCCAUUAAUACCCGGACAUUUUGGGUAUCAUAUCAAAAAGACUGGCUCAUCUUAAAAGGUUGUAUUUUAGCAGGCCUUCUCUGACAAUGCUGCCUCAGGGCAAGGGAGGUUGUUGCCUCCUUACUGCCAGAUACAGGUAGAUGUGCAGGGAUUCCUCAUUACUGUUCCCCACGUGCCCUCCAGUGACCCCAAAGGUGGGGUCCAAACUUCCUACAUGGCCUCCACUGGCCCAUGGCCAUUGGCAUUUCUGGGUUGCCAGCUUCAGAGUACCUAGUACCUAGUCAGAGAUCUAUGAGGAAAAAGAAAAUCCAGAAAAUUCACUACUAUGUCUUUCUUCUGGUCCUGAGGUUCCUAGCUGACCUGCCUUCUUUCCACCUUUCAGAAUCUUAUUGAUUGAUUGAUUGAUUGAUUGACUGAUUGAUCAUGACCUGAGCUGAAACUAAGAGUCAGUCACCCAACCGACUGAGCCACUCAGGUGCCCUUCCUUUCAGAAUCUUCUUAUGUUUGUUUUAUACAUAAUGUCCAGGGUUCUUAGCUGUAUUUAGUGAAAGAAAUAGGAGAAAGGAUGUCUACUCCCAUCUUCCUGGAAGCAGAAGUCUCCUCAGCGCAUAUUUAAAGAGUGAAUUUUCUAGAGAAAAAAUGCCAGGUAAAGGAUUGAUUCAGGAUAUUUCACUUAACAGACCUUUGUCUUGUGAUCCAUGUCUGCCCUCUCCUCUUCACCCAUCCAUCAUAUUAUUUGUUUCUGUAUUUACUCAAAAAGCUCAAUUAAGGAGUAUGACUAACAAUGAAGAAUGCAGGAGUGCAGAUGAAGUUUGAAGAAAGCUGUAUCCAUAUUUUGUCUCAGCAACAAGAGUGUAAGGACAGCUUCUUUAAAAACUGAUCUGAUACCAAAUGUACCAACUGUGAAGGAACCAGCUAGAUCCAAGAAAUCUCAAAAGCUAAACAUCAUGUGCACCUUCACCCUCUUAGGCUUUCUAAGCUCUGCAAAAGCUUGUCAAAUGCCAUUUCCAACUUUGGAUAAAGGAAAAAUGAUGUAGCUAUACAGCCUGAAGCACAUAAUGAAGGGAGAAGAAUUCUCUGUGUACAAACCAUCUCCCUCCCAAAGACUCAAAUACUCUCUUUGUGGUAUCACAAUAGAGGUGAAGAAAGAGCCUAACCUCUGAAAUCCAACAGACAUAGAUAACCAGGCUCCACCACUUAAAAUUUGAUCUUGGGCAAGUCACUUCUUUUAAAUUUCUGUCUCCCUAUUUGUUAAAUGGUGAUAAUAACAGCACCUACCUCAUAGAUAAAUGAGGAAUACAUAAAAUAUUAAGUGCAAAAGGCUUGGCAGGCUUAAGGUCCUUAUUACUGGUAUUUGGAGAUAUUUUCUAGAUGGGGGAAAAUACUUGAUAAGCAUCAAUUUUGUACUUAUAGGGGCACCUGGGUGGCUCAGUCAUUAAGCGUCUGCCUUUGGCUCAAGUCAUGAUCCCAGGGUCCUGGGAUCGAGCCCCACAUCGGGCUCCCUGCUCUGUGGGAAGCCUGCUUCUCCCUCUCCCACUCCCCCUGCUUGUGUUCCCUCUCACUGUGUCUCUCUCUGUCAAAUAAAUAAAUAAAAUCUUUAAAAAAAAAAUUUGUACUUAUAUAUUACACAAAUCCCAUAUUAAAUAGUCACUAUAUUUUAGUUUUGACAUUUUCCCUGAGUAUUUGUUUUCUUUAUCAUAAUCUACCAUUGUAGGCUUACAAACUGAUAAAACUCAAAGACGUGUGAAUAUAAGAAAAUUUGGCUUCCCUAAAACUUCCCAAAUUUUGAAGAGAAAAAAAGAAAAGAAUUGAUCCUGUUUUAGUAAUUCCCAAUGUGUUGACCAUAGGUCUUUACUAAUUGACACAAAAGCUUAGCAGUAACUGCUUCAUCAUUUAAGGAGAUACAAGGAAUUUGAUUCUGCUUGUUCUGGAAAAUAGCAGAUUGGGUCUAUAUUCCGCUAGGAAAAGUGCUCUGACAAUUCUCAUCUCCUUAGAAGUCAUUAAGAUAUAAGCAACGUAAAAUUUGUUUAAUGUUUGUUUCCUGUAGGGAGUGGAGAGGGAGCCCUUAUUUAGACUUAUUGAUCCCAGUCAGAAUUUUUAUUCUUAGGUGAGAACAGGCCCAAGUCAAUAAAUAUGUGUAUAGGAAUAGCAUGUUUCAAAUUUUUCUAAUUUUUAAUAACUUCAUUUUUCUAAAUCAUUUAUGUGAUUAAAUAAUAGACAUCUAAUAACUAAAUGCAAAAGGCAGAAGACCAGGAAAAUGUGAUUGCUGCAAAACACUAAAAUGUGGUUUGAUUUUCCAUUGAUUUGUAAUAUAAGAGCAACAAUACCCUCUCACAUAUUUCCACUGAGUCCAUUAUAUAUGGGUGAUUAAAAUUUUGAAAAUAUUAUUUGGCACUUGAUAAUCUGAAAUGAAAUUAUGAAAUUUUAUAUACAAGAGGGUUAAUUAUUUUUAAAGGGCUAAUCAUGUAGCACUUUGUUAAACAUUGGGAUUAUAAAAUAUAUUCCUCAAUAUUAAUCAAGAUAAUUAUGCUCUGGAUAAAUGUGCAUAAAUCACUUAACAAAAGAAUUUAAAAGCAGGCAUGAUCACCAAGAACAGAAAGUAUACCCUAUUCUAUUUCAGAUGAUUUGUCAGAACAACCCUUUCAUUUUAAAUUACCAGGGCAUUUCGAUAGCAACAUAAAACAAUUUUAUGGGUCCUGUGAUGACUUGUGCCCACUCUCACUUGUUUAAUCAACAUUUUUCAAGACAUCACUGCAAUUUAGAAAGAAAAAAAUAACUAACAGGCAGUUGUCCUUGAGCCAAUAAUUUAACCUACACAAUUACUUCAGUAAUGUCUAAAAGAUUUCCUUGUGAUAGAAUUUUGUGGUUCCAUAAAAGGAGUUUUACUAAUUUCAAAACUAAUAAAGUCUACUGUGUUAAAAAUA